rnacentral:rRNA from 1 species
AUGGUGUCUGCGACCGGCGGUCGCAACGGCAACCGCACGCGCACGCGUGCCCGUGCCCUCGCGAGGUUCUGCAGGCAGCUCCAUGCCCUCCUCCUCAAGAACCUCGCCUUCCAGAGGAGGAACUGGAAGACCAACGCCGCGAUCGCCGUGUUCCCGGUGCUGCUCUGCGCGCUGCUCGUCGCCAUCCAGGCCGUGGUCGACCGCGAGCUGGACCGGCCCCCGUUCCGGUGCGGCUGCGAGGGGGGCCACUGCGGCGUCCAGCACUCCACGCCCACGCAGGCCAUCAGCUGCGAGGUGGCCGCGCCGCCCAGGUGGCCGGCGCUCCUGCAGGUGCCCGUCGUCCCGGCCUUCGUGCACGGCCGCCCUGCGCGCUGCACCAACGCGUCCUGCGCCCCGGUCACGGUGCUCCUCACCGGACUCAACCGUGGCCUCUCCCAAAGCCUUGGAAGGGGGCUGUUCCCAGACCUCUCUCCUUCAGACUAUUUUCUCAUGCCUAAAACCAUGAACUCCUCAUCCUCUCUUGACCACCUCUCCAAAGUAGUCCCUGGCUCCAGAACAUUGCCCGCGCAUGAGCUGUUCGUCGAGCCCGGCCUCGUGCCCAACGAGACCUUAUACGUGAUCCAGUCAAAGUGUUCGUGGCAAAAGCACAAUGUUUCAGGAAAUUCUGAUGGUGGAAUGCCACUCCAACUGGGCAUGGAGUGUGUUCAAGGUUUGCCAUUGUGGUGCGCGAGUUCGUCGGUGAUAAACCGCCGUUUGUUCAACGGUUAUAAACGUGCAAAUAAGAGGAGAAGAUCAAACGAAUUCCUUGCCGGUUAUGACUUUCUUGAUACAAGCAAGGGGCUGUUCCAUGUAUACGUUUCGUACAACUCAAGCUUCAGCAGGGACAAUGGGCACCAUUCCAUGACAGUUUUGCGCGUUGCACGGUUGGUUAAUAUGGCAUCCACUGCAUAUCUCAAGCAGGUUCUACCAGGAGUGAAUGCAGAAAUGCGCCUAGAAUUUCUGAAAGAGAUGCCCAAAGCUGCAAUCAAAAUGAAACUGGACCUCACAACUCUCCUCGACGCACUCUUCUUCACAUGGACGGUUCAACUCCUCCUUCCAGUAAUAUUAACAUAUCUUGUUUAUGAGAAGCAGCAGAACCUAAGACUAAUGAUGAAAAUGCAUGGACUCAAGGAUGGACCAUAUUGGCUGAUAUCGUAUUCCUACUUCCUGUCCCUUUCAGGAGCAUAUGUGACCUUCUUUGCGGUUUUCGGCUCACUUAUAGGUCUCGACAUAUUCAGAUUGAACAGCCAUGUUAUACAGUUUUUGUUCUUUUUUAUCUACAUCAACCUGCAAAUUGUUUUAGCCUUUCUCCUCGCGUCAUUCUUCUCAUCGGUCAAGACUGCUAGUGUAAUAAGUUACAUCUAUGUCUUUGGCUCUGGCCUUCUCGGAGAAGCGCUAUUGAAGUUGUUCAUUGAGGAUACUAACUUCCCAAGACCUUGGCUAGUGAUAAUGGAGCUUGUUCCCGGGUUCUCCCUCUACCGAGGGGUUUAUGAGUUAUCCGAGUAUGCAGCUGCAGGAAGCUACAUGGGGAAGCCUGGAAUGCAAUGGGGGGACUUGAACGACCCGAUCAACGGGAUGAAAGAUGUUUUGAUUCUGACGUUCAUAGAAUGGAUACUUCUGCUUCUUGUGGCAUAUUUUUUGGACCACAGACCUGCAUGGCAUCCUAUUUUUCUCUUCGGAAUUCUGUCGACCAAGCACUCGUCGCCGUCAUAUAAAGCGAAUCCGAGAUCCAAGAGGGUCUUUGCUGAUAUGGCCAAGGAUGAUGUUUUCCUCGAGCACAAGGUGGUGAAACGAUUACUGAAGGAAAUGGACACUAGGAAUAUGAUCAUCUGCCACAAUCUAAAGAAAGUGUACCGUGGGAAUAACAGGAACCCCGACAAGCUCGCGGUGAGAGGGUUGUCGCUCGCAUUGCACAAAGGGCAGUGUUUCGGAAUGCUUGGUCCCAAUGGGGCAGGGAAGUCAUCCUUUAUCAACAUGAUGAUUGGACUAGUGGCGCCUACUUGCGGAACUGCUUACAUACAUGGAAUGGAUUUGAGAAAAGAUAUGAAUGAAAUAUAUGCAAACAUCGGUGUAUGUCCACAGCACGAUUUGCUUUGGGAGACUCUGACAGGAAGAGAGCAUCUACUGUUUUAUGGUCGAAUGAAGAAUCUCGCAGGUGCUGCUCUAACGAAGGCAGUCGAGGAAUCCUUGAAGAGCGUGAACCUUUUCCACUGCGGUUUUGGCGACAAAUCUGUAAGUAAGUACAGUGGUGGCAUGAAAAGAAGGCUCAGUGUCGCUAUCGCACUCAUCGGCAAUCCUAAAGUAGUUUACAUGGACGAACCGAGCACCGGGUUGGACACGAUAUCCAGGAAUGAUCUGUGGAACGUCAUCAAGCGAGCAAAGAAGGAAUGCACCAUCAUACUCACAACCCAUUCAAUGGAAGAGGCCGAGGAGCUGUGCGAUCGGGUUGGCAUCUUCGUGAGCGGAAACUUUCAGUGCCUUGGAACACCCAAGGAGCUGAAGACAAGGUACGGCGGCACCCGCAUCCUGACGAUAACGACGGCGGCGGAGCACGAGGAGGUGAUGGCCCGGCUGAUCGCCGAGCUGUCGCCGAGCGCGGUGAAGAUCUACGGCAUGUCGGGGACGCAGAAGUUCGAGCUGCCGAAGCGGGAGGUGCGGCUGGACGGCGUAUUCGGCGCGGUGGAGGCGGCGAGGGCCAUGUUCCCCGUGCAUGGGUGGGGCGUGGCAGACACCACGCUGGAGGACGUCUUCAUCCGGGUCGCCAAGGACGCCCGCGCCUUCGAUGUCCUCUCGUAG